AUGACAAAGAUUGCCAACAACUACAAGAAACCGGCAAAAGGCAUGGAACAGUUUCACCUCAGCCCUCAGAGGGAAUCAACAUUGCCAACACCUCUAUCUCAGACGUCUAGCCUUCAGGACUGGCCCCAGGCGGCCCGGGAAGCGUGGAGGUCCCAGCGUGCGGGCAGAAAGCCCAAGAGGCCGAGCGCUGUGGCAGCUCCAUGGGGCCCUGGCGGAGGCAGGGGCAUAGCGUGGCUGGCUGCAUAUGUGAACAAGGUGAGCGGUGGGGCCGCGGUCGUCGCGGAGCCUGAGCACACCAAGGAGCGCAUCAGACUUCAAGGGUCGAAGUGCAAGGGGGCAGCUUUUGAUUUCGGGGUCAACCAACUAGGACUCGAUGGGUGGAAAAGAAGUGCCUAAACAGCAAGCUGCUUACCUCAAUCUCGGUCAGAAUUUGUGGGGGCCCCAUAGAUGUGGGUGCCUGGCGGGGUCCUGGCGCGGACAGCGGUCUCGGGUUUGCGCGCUGCGCACAGUAUCCUCAUCACCACACAAUGGAAGCUGCGGAGCUGGGGUCAAAAUAAGAAGGGGCAGCUGGGACCUGGCCACACCAAGAGAAUGGAAGCCCCCAGACUCACUGCGGGUCUCUGCCGGGAAGUGAGUAUGUAGGCAGCCUGUGGGCGGAACCUCACCUUGGCCUUGACGGAAACGGGUUCUGCGUUUGCCUUCGGGGAGAACAAGAUGGGGCAGUUGAGCCUCAGCCACCACGCAGGAGCAUCCCCAGCACCGCACAAAUCAUGGACAACGGGCAGCCAAUUACUAGAAUGGCCAGUGGAAAUGAAUUCCGUAUAAUGGGCGACAAAGGAGACCUCUGUUCCUUCGUGUGCCCUCAAUGUGGUCAGCUGGGACCCAGGCACAGUGAAUAGUUAAGGCUGUGAGCUGGUGCCGGUGCCACGAUGAGUGGCCCACCUUCACUGAGAAUGAAAGAUGGGUAGAUUCUGCCUGUACCAAAGGUGGCUGUGAGACCCCCAGAGCAAGGCAGGGACCCCUCCCCAUUUCCCUUACAUGUUGUGCUGACUGAAGCUACAUUCAACCUUGCAGCCACACAACCACAAACGUUUCCUUUCACAAAAAUAGACCAAUCAAAUCUGAGACAGAGUACUCUGAGCACAAGCAUCUUGGCUAACAACGUGGCCUGUGAUGCUAACCACACAUUGAUUCUGGACUCCAAGAAAUGAGUCUUCUCCUGGGGCUUUGGUGGCUAUGGUUGGCUGGGCCACUCGGAGCAGAAGGAUGAGAUGGUCCCCGCUUGGUGAGGUUGGAGUCUGACUUCCUUGGGUGUGGGGCAUCCCAGAUCCAUGUUGGUUACACCUGGUCCUUUGCUGUCUGUGAAGUUGGUAGUCUCUUUUUCUGGGGGAGCCCAAUAUCUCCCAUGAAUCUUCCAUGUACCUGAAAGCAGUGCAGGACCUCUGCGGCUACAGAAUCCAGAGCCUGGCUUGUGGGAAGAGCAGCAACACUGUGGCCGCCAAUGAGAGCACCAUCAGCUGAGGGCCAUAACCAACCUUUAGGUAACUGGGAUACAGGGACCAUGAGCCCAAGUCUUCCACUGCAGCCCAAGAGGUGAAGACUCUGAAUGGCAUCUUUUCAAAGCAGGUCUCCAUAGGCUACUCGCACUCCUUGGUGAUAACGCGAGAUGAAAGUGAGACCAGGAAAGAGAAGAUCAAGAAACUGCUAGAGCCGGGUGCGGUGGCUCACUUGUAAUCCCAACACUUUGGGAGGCCGAGGCAGGCGGAUCAUCUGAGGUCAGGAGUUCGA